AUGAGACUCACGAGAGAGAUGUUAGAUCACGUCUCCCAAGAAACACAUGAUGGCAUAUGCAGCUUUUCCAAGCUUCAGGAGGUCUUGAAGGAUCAUAUUAAAUCAAAGAGGGUUCUACUUAUUUUAGAUGAUCUCUGGGAAGGCAUGGAUGAUGGCCGAUGCAACAAAUUGUUAGCUCCGUUCAGUUCUGAUGAUGCAACUGGCAAUAUGAUAAUUCUGACAACAAGAAAACCGUUUGUUGCCAAAAAGAGAGGUACAACUGGUCCAAUUAACUUAGAUGGUUUGAAAAAUGCUGAUUUCUGGUCAAUGUUCAAAGCAUGUGCAUUUGGUGAUGAGAAUUACAAAGAGCAAGCAAGUCUAGGUGACUUAGGACAGAAAAUAGCACAAAAUUUGAAAGGAAACCCAUUAGCAACACAAACUGUUGGGGCACUAUUAAGACAUCAUCUUACUGUGGAUCAUUGGAAUAACAUUCUGAAGACUGAAGAUUGGAAAUCCCUACAACACACUGGUGGUAUUAUGUCUGCCUUGAAGCUUUCCUAUGAUGAAUUGCCCUACCCUGUAGGGCAAUGCUUCUCAUAUUGUUCUAUAUUCCCCUACGGUUAUGGAUUUCUUGCUGAGGAGCUAGUUCGUCUUUGGAUUUCACAUGGAUUUGUGAAGCGUGAUCAUUCAAGUAAGAGUUUGGGGGAGAUGGGACGGUACUAUCUUAUUGACUUGGUGAACCGGGGCCUGUUUGAGCAGGUUGAACUUGAAUGUCAAACUUUCUAUGUUAUUUGCGGCCUGAUACAUGAUUUUGCAAGGCUAGUUUCAAGAACAGAGUGUGCAGCUUUGGAUGGUUUGCAGUGCAAUGAAAUUUUGCCAACUAUACACCAUUUGUCCAUGAUAACCAAUUUUGUAUAUCAGAGAGAUGGUCAGACUGGGAAUAUACCUCGUAAUGAGAGGUUUGAAUUUUCAUUGCAAAGUAUAGUCACAUUAGUGAGAAAAAUGAGAACAUUGGUGUUAAUUGGAGAAUAUGACUCUUUUUUCUUCAAAGCAUUCCAAGAUGUCUUUGAAGAAGCAAAUAAUCUGCGUCUGCUACAAAUGUCUGCAACAUCUCUUGAUUUUAAUUCCUUUCUGUGUAGCUUGGCAAAUCCUACACAUCUUCGAUAUCUAAAAAUUCAAUAUGGUCAUACUGAGCAGAAGGCUUUGCCUCGUGUUUUGAGCAGUUCUUCCAUCUUCAAGUAUUGGAUGUGGCUUUCUUUAAUGCAUUGCAUACAGUUCAUCUAG
rnacentral:rRNA from 1 species